rnacentral:pre_miRNA from 1 species
UUGAGUUUCAAAUAUUCGACUGUAUUCACGGCGUGAAACAGGGGAUUACACUGUUUUUAAACGGAAACUGUAUCAAUUAACAUAAUAGACUCCU